ACGGGAGGCAGCAGUGGGGAAUAUUGCACAAUGGGCGCAAGCCUGAUGCAGCGAUGCCGCGUGAGGGAAGAAGGUUUUCGGAUUGUAAACCUCUGUCAUCGGGGACGAUAAUGACUGUACCCGAGAAGGAAGCUCCGGCUAACUACGUGCCAGCAGCCGCGGUAAUACGUAGGGAGCGAGCGUUAUCCGGAAUUACUGGGUGUAAAGGGAGUGUAGGCGGGACUGUAAGUCAGAUGUGAAAUAUGCCGGCUCAACUGGCAGACUGCAUUUGAAACUGCGGUUCUUGAGUGAAGUAGAGGUAAGCGGAAUUCCUAGUGUAGCGGUGAAAUGCGUAGAUAUUAGGAGGAACAUCAGUGGCGAAGGCGGUUUACUGGACCACAACUGACGCUGAGACACGAAAGCGUGGGGAGCAAACAGGAUUAGAUACCCUGGUA
rnacentral:rRNA from 1 species